UUUGUUGGUUUUUUAUUCGGUUCGGUUUUAUUCGUUGUGUUAUGUGUGAGUUCGAGUUGGUUUUGUGAAUUUGUGCUGUUUAUGUUAACAAAUGUUCAUGAAUGUUGUUGGAGAGAGAGAAGGAAAUUGUGUUUGUGACUUGAUUGGAAAAAAUGUGUGGUUGCUGAUUUUUCUGUGAACAGUGAUUUUUCUGUCUAUUUCCCAAUGAUUGACAGGGUUUUAUAGUGACAAAUUAGGGUUGGCUCUGGUACAAACAAAUGAC
rnacentral:lncRNA from 1 species